UACGUAGGGGGCGAGCGUUGUCCGGAUUUAUUGGGCGUAAAGAGCGUGUAGGCGGCCAGGUAGGUCUGCUGUGAAAACUCGAGGCUCAACCUCGAGACGUCGGCGGAAACCAUCUGGCUAGAGUCCGGAAGAGGAGAGUGGAAUUCCCGGUGUAGCGGUGAAAUGCGUAGAUAUCGGGAGGAACAUCAGUGGCGAAGGCGGCCAUCUGGACUGACACUGACACUGAGACACGAAAGCGUGGGGAGCAAACAGG
rnacentral:rRNA from 1 species